rnacentral:rRNA from 1 species
UACAGAGGGGGCGAGCGUUGUUCGGAAUUACUGGGCGUAAAGGGCGCGUAGGCGGCCAACUAAGUCAGACGUGAAAUCCCUCGGCUCAACCGGGGAACUGCGUCUGAUACUGGAUGGCUUGAAUUCGGGAGAGGGAUGCGGAAUUCCAGGUGUAGCGGUGAAAUGCGUAGAUAUCUGGAGGAAUACCGGUGGCGAAGGCGGCAUCCUGGACCGACAUUGACGCUGAUGAGCGAAAGCUAGGGGAGCAAACGGG